rnacentral:rRNA from 1 species
AUUGAACGCUGGCGGCAGGCCUAACACAUGCAAGUCGAGCGGAUGAGAGGAGCAUGCUCCUCGAUUCAGCGGCGGACGGGUGAGUAAUGCCUAGGAAUCUGCCUAGUAGUGGGGGACAACGUUUCGAAAGGAACGCUAAUACCGCAUACGUCCUACGGGAGAAAGUGGGGGAUCUUCGGACCUCACGCUAUUAGAUGAGCCUAGGUCGGAUUAGCUAGUUGGUAGGGUAAAGGCCUACCAAGGCGACGAUCCGUAACUGGUCUGAGAGGAUGAUCAGUCACACUGGAACUGAGACACGGUCCAGACUCCUACGGGAGGCAGCAGUGGGGAAUAUUGGACAAUGGGCGAAAGCCUGAUCCAGCCAUGCCGCGUGUGUGAAGAAGGCCUUCGGGUCGUAAAGCACUUUAAGUUGGGAGGAAGGGCUCAUAGCGAAUACCUGUGAGUUUUGACGUUACCAACAGAAUAAGCACCGGCUAACUUCGUGCCAGCAGCCGCCGCCG